rnacentral:piRNA from 1 species
UCGUAAAGGUAAAUCUGCACAUGAAAGC